CCUCAUUUUUCCUGCAAAGAGCCAGGAACACAAGAUGUUCGAAUUAUGAGCCCAUAUUGCACUUCCGAUUUAAUAUUCAGCCAGAAAAGAUUACAUUGAGACUGAAAGAUUAAGAAAAAAAAAUCUAAGACUUCCUCCAGAAAAUCGGCUUUUGAGCACCUGAGCUGGGGAAGUUGAAAUGCCCCAGGAGAAGAGGCAGAGGGAACCGUCUCAAGACAGUCAACAAAGGGAAUGGCUCUGUCCAGAGAGUAUCACCGUCUAUUCCUCCACACAUCAGAGCUGUGUGAAAAUCUCCCAUGGAAGAAGAUAGAAUAUGAAUUCAACCCAUCAUUUGAAAGACAAGCAUAUCGAAUGAAAAGCCAUGAAUUGGACUCAGGGCUGUGCUGAGCUGCAUCCUCGGCCCUUCCACAUUUGUUUGAAAACCUGGGGUACCAGUACUUGGAGCUUCUGCUAGCCCCUGGGGCACAGGAAGAUAGGCAGGGCUCCUCAGGAAGGAGGACUUUUCAUCUCUGAGCUACAGGAGCUGGGGAGAGCCUUCUGGGCUUUAGGCUCAUGGACAGCAAUGCUUGGCUAAAUUAUUCUAGUUGAAGCCAACUUUGAGUGACUCUUCUGUCCCAUUUGCCACCUUUAGGAGCCACAAAUGGCUUUUCUCAAAAAGAUUAAGAUGAGAUCCAUUUCAAAAAGAGGAAAGAAGAAGAGAUAAGAGAGCCAAACAGCACACUGGAGAAUAAUUUUUUUAGAUUAAAGUAGCUGAUUCAUCACUAAAUGUACCAGCAGGUGAUGUUGCAUAGUUUAUUUUAGGAGGUAUUCAUAAAUCCAAAGAUUUGUUAUCGGUGAUUAAAAUGUUAUUUUGGGAUUUGUGAGUUUGGGACCUGCCUUAUAUUAUCUCCCGCAUUCUGACAGUGUCAUACUCAAAGAUCAUUUCCAUUCAGUUCAUUGUACAGUAUCUGUCCCC